GACGUAGGAGGCGAGCGUUAUCCGGAUUCACUGGGCGUAAAGCGCAUGUAGGCGGUUGCACAAGUCCGUUGUUAAAGCCCCUGGCUCAACUGGGGGAGGUCAAUGGAGACUGUGCGACUUGAGGGCAAUAGAGGCACGUGGAACUCCCGGUGUAGCGGUGGAAUGCGUAGAGAUCGGGAAGAACACCAGUGGCGAAGGCGACGUGCUGGGUGCACCUGACGCUGAGAUGCGAAAGUGUGGGGGGGAGCAAACGGG
rnacentral:rRNA from 1 species